rnacentral:lncRNA from 1 species
GACGAUCUCUAGGCUUGGGGGGUGAAAUGAUGUGGAUGUUCCAUUGCAAAGGCAUGUCAUUAAGUUGUGUUGCUGGAGCUAUAUGGGACGGAAGCUUAUAAAACCCUUCUUGGUUGGGGCUUGGAUUCGGUCGACGAUGCACGUUUCUUUCGGUAAUCCUUAAACUCUUCGCACCCAGCGGUGGGGGCAGCUGUUUCAUUCGGUGUUUCGGCAAUGCUUGACGGGCAUAACAUGCUUGUUGGGGGUUGUAGUUCGCUGAUUGGAAUUGUUGCUCAUUGUACGUGGUGGUGCAUGAGUCGUAUCACGAUCGUUUGGGUAGGCAGGCUCCGUGCUCGCGC